rnacentral:rRNA from 1 species
UACGGGGGGAGCAAGCGUUGUUCGGAUUUACUGGGCGUAAAGGGCGCGUAGGCGGCCACCGCAAGUCGACUGUGAAAUCUCCGGGCUUAACUCGGAAAGGUCAGCCGAUACUGCGGGGCUAGAGUGCAGAAGGGGCAACUGGAAUUCUCGGUGUAGCGGUGAAAUGCGUAGAUAUCGAGAGGAACACCUGCGGCGAAGGCGGGUUGCUGGGCUGACACUGACGCUGAACUGCGAAAGCUAGGGGAGCGAACGGG